GUAGGUGGCAAGCGUUGUUCGGAAUUAUUGGGCGUAAAGCGCGCGCAGGCGGUUCUUUAAGUCUGAUGUGAAAGCCCACGGCUCAACCGUGGAGGGUCAUUGGAAACUGGAGAACUUGAGUACAGAAGAGGAAAGCGGAAUUCCACGUGUAGCGGUGAAAUGCGUAGAGAUGUGGAGGAACACCAGUGGCGAAGGCGGCUUUUCUGGUCUGUAACUGACGCUGAGGCGCGAAAGCGUGGGGAGCAAACAGGGAUUAGAUACCCUGGUAGUCCACGCCGUAAACGAUGAGUGCUAAGUGUUAGGGGGGUUUCCGCCCCCUUAGUGCUGCAGCUAACGCAUUAAGCACUCCGCCCUGGGGAGUACGGCCGCAAGGCUG
rnacentral:rRNA from 1 species